GCGUUGCCGGCGAAGAGGGGAGCCUGACGACUCGGAAAUUUGAAUACCACAGUAGCAUGGAGUGUGACCUCAUGGAGACUGACAUCUUGGAGUCGUUGGAAGAUCUAGGUUACAAGGGCCCAUUGUUGGAAGAUGGAGCGCUCUCUCAGGCAGUCUCUGCUGGAGCCAGUUCCCCCGAGUUUACCAAACUCUGUGCUUGGCUGGUGUCUGAAUUAAGAGUGCUCUGUAAACUAGAGGAAAACGUGCAAGCAACUAACAGU
rnacentral:lncRNA from 1 species